rnacentral:lncRNA from 1 species
GAUCAUCACGGAGGACAGUGAUCCAUCCAUUCGAGAUUGAUGCACGGAUCACCUCCUUUUAGGGCAGAUGAGUCUCGAAUAUAUGGUGUAGAGACACUGGGGUGAGAGUGCAAGUGGUUAUUAAAGAACAACUUGCACUGAGCAUGACCAACACGAGAAAUCACUUGGAUAUCUACUCACUCAUUAGUGGUCUUUCUCGAUGCUGCAGUGGUGGACUGG